CACAAGUACCGUGAGGGAAAGUUGCAAAGAACUUUGAAGAGAGAGUUCAAGAGUACGUGAAACUGCUCAGAGGUAAACGGGUGGGCCCUCGAAAUCCUGUGGCGAGAGGAUUCAGUCUGGCUCGGCGGACCUGCGGCGGGAAAACUCGGGUAGGGCUUCCCGUGACUGGGGCCGUCCUGUCGUGGGUUUUCCGUCGUUCCAGACGCAUUUGUCUCUCGUCCGAAGGACGCUGCAGCCGGUUUGGAAGUGCAAGCGCGGCGGCCUGAAGGUCGGGUAAUGGCAGGUGGCCGGCGGCUCGCCUUGUGCGGGUUGUCGGUUGUUAGCCGUCCCGUCAGUGGCUCGUCUCCAGACCGAGGUGUCGCGAGUCCCGUCAGGGACUCUUCGUCUCCACCCCAGAGUUGCGAGACUGGUCGUGGCAAGGGCUCCGUAUUCCCACCGUCGCACUACUAAGGAGUGGGCGGAGGGCUGCGGGUCCCCGUUGGCUGCGACGGACUCGUUGGGGGCUCGAGGCUUGCAGCGAGUAGGUCGGUCACCCACCCGACCCGUCUUGAAACACGGACCAAGGAGUCUAACAUGUGCGCGAGUCAAUGGGUCUUGACUAGGCCCAGGGGCGCAAUGAAAGCGAAGGAUUGCCUAGCGCAGUCUGAGUGGGGAUCCCUCUCUCUCGGGAGGGGGCGCACCCACGACCCGUCCUAUCCGGCUCGCCGGUUGGGCGGAGUCUGAGCGUACACGUUGGGACCCGAAAGAUGGUGAACUAUGCCCGGACAGGACGAGGCCAGAGGAAACUCUGGUGGAGGUCCGCACGGUUCUGACGUGCAAAUCGAUCGUCAGAUCCGGGUAUAGGGC
rnacentral:rRNA from 1 species